UUGGAGGGCAAGUCUGGUGCCAGCAGCCGCGGUAAUUCCAGCUCCAAUAGCGUAUAUUAAAGUUGUUGCAGUUAAAAAGCUCGUAGUUGAAUUUCGGGAUCGACGGGUCGGUCGCGCCUCUGGUGUGUACUGGCCCUGUCGGUUUCUCCCUUCUGACGAACCACGAUGUCAUUAAUUUGGUGUCGUGGGAAAUCAGGACUGUUACUUUGAAAAAAUUAGAGUGUUUAAAGCAGGCAUUCGCUUGAAUACAUUAGCAUGGAAUAAUGAAAUAGGACGUUUGAUCUUAUUUUGUUGGUUUCUAAGAUCGACGUAAUGAUUAAUAGGGAUAGUUGGG
rnacentral:ncRNA from 3 species